UCAGGUGCCUUUGGAUUUAGUGGGUUCACAAAUACAUACACAUGGUUGGAGCCUGAAGCAUAGAAUUAUUGAGAUUUUAAAAAUCUUUGUAUUUAUUAGUAAAUGUGUUCCUAUGGCAAUUAUAAAAAAAUAAGUCAAUUCCCUGAAUUAAUAAUCCAAUAAUUCAUACAAAGAAAGAUCAAUUAUCAGAACAGAACUCAAAGUCACAGUUAGUUAGACUCCUUCAGUUGUAGAGCGACUAUGGUUCAUCUUGAACACUUUUUCAUGUGGUUGUGGAGCCCUAUUUUGAAGAGACAUUCCUGUCCACAAAUAUUGCAGGUUAAGGUGGCUUUCGCUUUGGUGGUGGAGGAGCUGGCCAUUUUUCGCAUGGCUCGCUUUCUUCCAGAGCUGAGGCCUAUGUUCUUUCGCUGUCCAUAGCUUUCUUGGUCACUGUCUCUUUCUCUAUCUAGUGUGGUCUAGGGCUAUGUCUUCCCAAUGGUCACAACUAAUCAAUCAAAAAGCCACUAAUUAGUGCUAGUAUUUAUUAUUAUUAUUAUUAUUAUUUUGGUUAAUGAAUCUCCAUUUACUUUACCAUGCUCAGAGUGCUUAGUCCAAUAUCUUUGGUGGACAUGUUGGGAGGGGGGGGGGGGGGGGAGGUAGCUUGGUAAAGGUUUCUGUGUUACUUUUAGUUACUCAGCAAUACAAUGCAUCUCAAUUAAAAUCAUAAAAAAUUCUUAUCUCCAGCAUGAUUCAGUUAGAUAGCCAAGCAAUUAAUGCAAUAAGCUGCAUGAUCCAAAUGAAAUAAUUAGCCACAAGCACAUACAGAAUUUUGUAAUACUAUUUCUAACUGUGACAAGAUAGCAAGAUAGACAUAACCUGACUGAAUUUUGUAAACAAAUAAAAAGACAUUUAAUUCUAUAAGUACCAAUAGAGAAUAAAAAAAAUAUCAUUUUCACUAACCAAAGAUGAUUCUGUCCAUGUGUUCUAGAGUUCUAGGCCCUGUAAUUAGACUGCCGUUAACUCUUGUCUUAGCUCCAUCAGAACCUGGCUUCAAUGUAAUACUUCCCUUUUCUUGACUUAUUAUUGCAUGUUUCUUUUGAAUGCUUAAGUUGGAAAGAAUUGUACAAAAAUCUGUGUUUUUAAGAUUGCUUAAAAAAAAUCACAAAAUUAGCUUUUUUUUAAAAUCAGUAAAUGUAGAAACAAUUCAGGACAGGAGUCUAAAAAGUAAAGUAGCAAUAAUAUAUAAAACACUGAAUUAUAACUUACAAACAUAAAAAAACAUAAGCUCAAUGACCACUAAACAUGAUGCUGAAAAGCAAAAUAUCAAUUCUCAUACUGUCCAGUGGGAAGUUGAAGAAAGAGCUCAGGCUUAUCAUCAAAAUUCCAUGAUUUUAACAUUCCCAAUGGAGAAGUCACAAUACAAACAGGAUUUAUAUUUCACAUAGAAAGCAAAUAAACAAUUAAUGUUAUUCAAAGGAAAACAUAAAGUGCUAUCUGUGUAGUAGAUGGCCACAAGGAGCUAAAAAAAUACAUUUGCAACAGAAAUGAUUUGGACAUGUUGUCCUUGGAGAAAAGUAUUCCUCAGGUUUUGGUUGACAGAAUUGGUAGAAGAAACCUCCAUUAGAAAUGCUAUAAUAUCAUAUGAAAGAAUUAACAUCCAUUUGACAUGCAAUAUUUUGCUUCUGACUGGAUGAAUUAAAGAUUCUGGUUACAUUGGAUGUGAAUUGAAGAUUCUACAUUACAUUGGGUGUGUACAUUCUCACACAAGUCUCACAAGUAAGGCAAGUAAAAAAACUAAUGAAGAAAUAAAUGAAAGCGCACCACAUUACUUAGCAUGUUCAAAUAGUGUUAGAUAAUUAAUAACCUUUGGCUUUUGGUGUUCAUGAAAACUUGAGACCAAUUGAAAAGAGAGUUUAGGACCAUAUCGAAUAACCAUACAAGUUUAAAACCAAGGAUUUAGGUUUUGUAGGCCUACUAAACCACUUAAUCAAAUUGCCCCUCCCCCAUUUACAAUAAAUGUAUUACUGGUUGUAAACAUGGGUUGAGACUGUGCACUAGCCUAACCUUAAUCCAUUCAAAACAAUGUCAGGGUUGCCACUCUUGCAGCCUAUAACUGUUGUAGCCCCAUUCAGAAACAGACACACCACUCCUGACAACAUUGGGUCCUCAUUUAAGUUCAUCAGGUGAGGUUCUUUGUUCUUCCUUGCAAUCUCUCUGUUUUCUUCUUUAGCAAUGGCAUCUGUUUCAUUUCUAGCUGCUGAGAGCUGUUGAAGAAUGAUAAAUAACAAUUAAGUUAGCUAGCAGGUUUGUUAGAUAUUAAAGUAUUCGUUAAAUGACACUUUGAAUUACAGCAGUCAAAAUGUGUUCACAGAAGGCUGUCAUCACAAUGGUCAGAGUCUGAACCCCGUGUGCUUCCAUUCCCACGCUGUCCUGUAGGAGAUUUGGGCUGUAAUGUAAUAAUCUUUACUUCUGAAGGAAUCACAGAAAUUUAUAAAUCAUGAGUGAAUCAUGAAUAAGGAACAAGAAUUGAAUGAAAUUGAUUUAGACUAGGGAGAUUGAGAGAAUAAUAGAAACAACUAAUUGAUGUAGGCUGUCCCUCCUUAUGUUCAGUCAUUAGGGAAUAAUAAAAACUACUAAUUGAUGUAGGCUGUGCAUCUUUAUGUUCAGUCAUUAGGGAAUAAUAGAAACAACUAAUUGAUGUAGGCUGUCCAUCCUUAUGUUCAGUCAUUAGGGAAUAAUAGAAACAACUAAUUGAUGUAGGCUGUCCAUCCUUAUGUUCAGUCAUUAGGGAAUAAUAGAAACAACUAAUUGAUGUAGGCUGUCCAUCCUUAUGUUCAGUCAUUGGGGAAUAAUAGAAACUACUAAUUGAUGUAGGCUGUCCAUCUUUAUGUUCAGUCAUUAGGGAAUAAUAGAAAAUACUAAUUGAAGUAGGCUGUCCAUCUUUAUGUUCAGUCAUUAGGAAAUAAUAGAAACAACUAAUUGAUGUAGGCUGUCCAUCCUUAUGUUCAGUUAUUAUAUGUGUUUCACAUUUUCUAGCACAUUAUUGGUUGUGUUUUCUCUUUAAUUCUUUGUCUUCCACUGGAAGCAGAAUG